rnacentral:rRNA from 1 species
AACGAACGCUGGCGGCAUGCCUAACACAUGCAAGUCGAACGAACCCUUCGGGGUUAGUGGCGCACGGGUGCGUAACGCGUGGGAAUCUGCCCUUUGCUUCGGAAUAACAGUUAGAAAUGUCUGCUAAUACCGGAUGAUGUCUUCGGACCAAAGAUUUAUCGGCAAAGGAUGAGCCCGAGUAGGAUUAGGUAGUUGGUGGGGUAAAGGCCUACCAAGCCGACGAUCCUUAGCUGGUCUGAGAGGAUGAUCAGCCACACUGGGACUGAGACACGGCCCAGACUCCUACGGGAGGCAGCAGUGGGGAAUAUUGGACAAUGGACGCAAGUCUGAUCCAGCAAUGCCGCGUGAGUGAUGAAGGCCUUAGGGUUGUAAAGCUCUUUUACCAGGGAUGAUAAUGACAGUACCUGGAGAAUAAGCUCCGGCUAACUCCGUGCCAGCAGCCGCCGUAACAC